rnacentral:rRNA from 1 species
UACGUAGGGUGCGAGCGUUGUCCGGAAUUAUUGGGCGUAAAGAGCUCGUAGGCGGUUUGUCGCGUCGACUGUGAAAACCCGAGGCUUAACCUCGGGCCUGCAGUCGAUACGGGCAGACUAGAGUUCGGUAGGGGAGACUGGAAUUCCUGGUGUAGCGGUGAAAUGCGCAGAUAUCAGGAGGAACACCGGUGGCGAAGGCGGGUCUCUGGGCCGAUACUGACGCUGAGGGGCGAAAGCGUGGGGAGCGAACAGG